rnacentral:rRNA from 1 species
UAGGGGAUCUUCCACAAUGGACGAAAGUCUGAUGGAGCAACGCCGCGUGAGUGAAGAAGGGUUUCGGCUCGUAAAACUCUGUUGUUAAAGAAGAACAUAUCUGAGAGUAACUGUUCAGGUAUUGACGGUAUUUAACCAGAAAGCCACGGCUAACUACGUGCCAG